GAUGAACGCUGGCGGCGUGCCUAACACAUGCAAGUCGAACGGAAAGGCGCUGCUUUUGUGGGGUGCUCGAGUGGCGAACGGGUGAGAAACAUGUGAGUAACCUGCCCUUGACUUUGGGAUAACUUCAGGAAACUGGGGAUAAUACAGGCUAGGAGCUCCUGCUGCUUGGUGGGGGUUGGAAAGCUUCGGCGGUUGGGGCUAGACUCUGGGUUUAUCAGCUUGUUGGUGGAGGAGUCGCUUACCAAGGCUUCGAUGGGUAGCCGGCCUGGGAGGGUGACCGGCGACAUGGGUACUAAGAGAGGGCGCAGACGGGUACAGUAGGCAGUGGUGGGAAAUAUUGCACAGUGGGCGGGAGUCUGAUGCAGCAGCGCUGCGUGCGGGAUGACGUCCUUCGGGUUAUAAACCGCUUUCACCUGUUACGAAGCGUGAUUGACGGUAAUGGGUGAAGAAGCACCGGCUAACUACGUG
rnacentral:rRNA from 1 species